GUUUUAUAAAUUCAUUCAUUUUAUAAGUUCAGAACUAUACACACUGUUUCAUAAUCACUUUUCAUGUCACGACAUACGGACGUUUCCAGGCUAUUAAACCAUUAAAUAACCUUCUACAUCUUUGCUGCUUACCCCUCUUUUUUGAGAGAUAGAUGACUCACUGCUUUGUGGAGAAUUACAAUUUUCUGUCCGACUUCUAAUAACAUUUAUUUCCUUAUAUUAUGAGUUACCCAAGUUUACUCAUAAAAUUUUGGUAAACAUAGUUGGGCUUUACCCAACUGAGGAUAUAUACACAUACUAUUUUGUAACUUGUUUUCACUCACAGUGCGUCCUAAACGUUUUCCUAUCUCCUUAAAUACACUUCUACGGUUAUUUCCUAAUUUUUUUAAACAAGAAUCCCUAGAACCCAAUUUCACAGGAUCUUCAUGAGUCAAGGUCAUCAUUAAGAAUAUCAAUAAGUGUAACAUGCUAUAGCUAUGAGUGCAAAUGACGGAACACAAAUCAGGGUGAAUGACCCCAGAAGAUGCCCUAAAUCUGUUCUGUUCUAUUGGUUUGUUUUCCUAAGUUAUCCAAUAUGAAGCUUUUUAAUCAGUGGUCUCUCCCUCAUGAAAGUAAAAGAGACAUAAAACAGCUCUCAAUCAGUCUAAGUGUCUGCCAAGGGAGUCAUUAAUUCCAACAGGCUUUUCCCAAGUAAUAUCCCUACCUUCCAUGUAACAAGGAGGAGGAGGAGGAGGAGGAGAUUCAUUUUCCUGUUCCUAUGACUUGGGUGAUUUCAAAACCACCUCUGUUAUUUCUUAAUCAGUAAUGAAAGGUCUAUGUCAACAGUUUCAAUGAACUUUUCUUUGCCACAGUCAGUAAGAAAUGCCUCUCAACACCUCUGAAUUAGUAUAAGGAUAUUUGGGGAAGAUUUACUUCAACACCUGCAAAUCCUCUGCCAUCAUUCAUCAGAAAACAUUUCUGCACUGGUCAUAGUUUCCUCAAGCUCUGUGGCUUAAGUGAUUAACCAUGACCCAAAUUUGAGGCCCAAGCAACUCUGUGAGCUUAAAGAUGCUUUUUAAAAAACAUAUAAUGAUCUGAUGAUCUUCCCUGCAUAAUGAAUCAACUUCUUCAUCAGAUCUAUUCGAAAAAACACAUUUCAUAUUCUAUAGGCAUACUACUAAAUGAAAGAGGCCGAAACCAUCAGGCAAAGAGAGGUUACAUUUACCAGAACUAACAUCUAAUCCUGUUCCUAUGCAAUGGAUACUACAGUUGUCUGGUUACCCAAGUGGAUGUAGGCAAGCAAUCUUUUUAAAUUAUCUUUUAUUGAAGAUACAGAAAGGGCAUGGAAAUAAUUGGCACCAUAAACAACAGGCAAAAUCUAUAUGCAAUUCAUCCACAGAACUUAAAACUGCAUCUCCUACAUGAUAGGCAUUCAAUAAAUUUUCGCAACAAGUAAAUGUUCUCAAACAAUAACAUUUUUCAUUUACCAAAAGUCCUGAUGGGAACCAUCAGGAUUAGUAUAUGUGAGAUCAUUCAACCUGCCUCUUAUUCCACUACGUUCUGGGGGAGACUGCACAAACACCUGCUAGGGGAAAAGUGGCAAGUCUUAUCCUGAGCCCCUAGUUUUGUCAGCAUUAUAAAACUGCUUAAGGGAAAGCCCAAGUUCGAAAAAACCUGUCCAAAAUAGCCACAGCUGGUCCUGCAGUUCCGUGGUGUGCUGUUUCAACUCAGUUACAUCAACCUUCCAAACGCCUCCCUUUGAAAGGUCACAAUCACUCAUUAGAAAAUAAACACAGCUCAGUCAAACACAUUUGCCUGAAGCAAACUGGAAAUUCGAAGAAAUGGCCUUCACCUCGAUAGGGGUUGAGUCCAGUCAGCUGCCAAUUUAUUUUUUGACUUUGAGAAAGUCUUUUCUGCCAUCUCUGUGCCUCUGUGCAUUCUGAUGGCACUGAAGACACUGCAGUAGGAAAACAUGCAUGCUCCUGCCCUUGAACAGUCUACACUCUAGGUAGGAAAAGCAGACAAUGAGCAAGUAAAUAAACAAAGCAUAGUGUAUGCUCUGGUGACAAAUGCUUCCAAGGAAAUAAAGGAGAGACAGGCACAGGCAGGGCUAAGGAAGAGCAACUGUAUCCGCAACUGCUGGUGUGGCUGGCCCUCAGUCCACUAUCCAAAACAGUGCGGAAGAGAUCUUCCUAAAGCAGAAAUUGUAUUUUGUCACUUCCUGCUUAAUAUCAAAACAAUAAGUCAAAACUCUGCAGGAGGCUGGCCCCAAGGCCGAGUGGUUAAGUUCAUGCACUCCACUUCGGCAACCCAGGGUUUGCCGGUUCGGAUCCUGGGCACCAACAUACACACUGCUCAUCAGGCCAUGCUGUGGCAGCAUCCCACAUAGAAGAACUAGAUGGCCUACAACUUGGAUAAACAACUAUAUACUAGGGCUUUGGGGAGAAAAAAAAAAAAAGAGGAAGACUGGUAACAGAUGUUAGCUCAGGGCUAAUCUUCCUCACCAAAAAAAAAAUUCUCUGCAGACAUCCAGGAUCUUCAUGGAGUGCCCCAGCCUCAUUCAUCUCUUGUCAUCCUCUCUUCUGAUUUAUACUCUGGCAAGAACACCUAUGCUUCCCUGCUAUGGGCCCCCAUUCAUGAGUCCCUCCCUCCACAUGGAGGAACUCCUCUCCGUUGUCCAUUCACAGCACCUCCCAUGGACGGUCCUUCAAUGCUGAGGACUGAAGGGAGGGAGGGAAGCCAGUCCACAGCCUAUCAUUCUAACACAAAUAAAAAUAGGGCUCUAAAUUAUCUGAAAAUUAAAUGACAACUAUUUAUAAUCAUCUGUUUUAAUAAUUUUAAACAAAAUUUUG
ensembl:lncRNA